CGCGCGCGUGGGCAGGGAACCCUUCUAUGGAUCAGAUGUGACGCUGGGGGGGCUGGACCUUUAAUGACGGCAAGUCCAGCGGGGAGGAGCAGAGACAUCUGCCGUCUCCUCGAACCCUGCACCCAGCCGAAGGUCGCGAUCCUCCCCCCCUGCUCCAGGGCCGCCGCCGCCCACGACGACGACGACGACGACAACGACGAGGAUGACCAGGGGUGGCUUAGGGACCCGCACCGGCUUGAUACCGCUGCGCGGGGGCCGCGCGGGAGGCGGAGCGCCAACAUGGUGACGCACUUCCGGCGGGAGCCGGCCGCUUGGGGAGGACCCUCGCGUUGGAGGUGGAGCUGCAGGCCCUGGGCCUGGCUGGCCUGAGGCGCGCGGGGCUGGGGGGCCCCUGGAGACGCCCACAUGUCUCACCCCCUACCCCCGCACCCCUGACGCAAAUCGAGAGUCCAGACAGCA